UGGGGAAUAUUGGACAAUGGGCGAAAGCCUGAUCCAGCCAUGCCGCGUGUGUGAAGAAGGUCUUCGGAUUGUAAAGCACUUUAAGUUGGGAGGAAGGGCAGUAAGCGAAUACCUUGCUGUUUUGACGUUACCGACAGAAUAAGCACCGGCUAACUCUGUGCCAGCAGCCGCGGUAAUACAGAGGGUGCAAGCGUUAAUCGGAAUUACUGGGCGUAAAGCGCGCGUAGGUGGUUCGUUAAGUUGAAUGUGAAAGCCCCGGGCUCAACCUGGGAACUGCAUCCAAAACUGGCGAGCUAGAGUAGGGCAGAGGGUGGUGGAAUUUCCUGUGUAGCGGUGAAAUGCGUAGAUAUAGGAAGGAACACCAGUGGCGAAGGCGACACCCUGGGCUCAUACUGACACUGAGGUGCGAAAGCGUGGGGAGCAAACAGG
rnacentral:rRNA from 1 species